UCAAGGCCACGCCACUGAACACAGAUAAUGAAAUUCCAGAGUUCACAUGCAUAAGCAUAAUGCUAAGCUGCCUUAUAACAAAAUACAGAGGAGGAGACAGACACAUAAAUAAAGAAUUACUCUAUAAUGUGUUAAGGACAAUGCCAGGGAUAUACCAGCGAUUUAAGGCAUUCUAGAGAAAGAUUAUCUACGCCAGCCAUCAAUGCAAAUACCUUUCAUGGUGCAUGCUAAAUGUACCCUCUGAGACGCUGGCCUCAUUCCUUCCUGGAGAAAGCCCUGCCAUGGCCUCUUUGUGAACCAUCAUCACACAUACUAAUUUGAUCCCCUACAUCAGUUACAUCUCUAGAAACAGCUAGAGUUGUGUCCGCUCAGCAUACCCAACCCCAGCCAGCCAUGACAUAGUUGUGUUGUAUGCAGACUGUGCAAGGAAGAGUGAAGUCUUGCAACAUCUUAGCAGCUCCACUGGGCUCAGAAAAGGCAGGAGGGCUCAUCACUGUACAAUGUGCAGUUCCAAACAAAGCCUGUGCCGCCAGACUUGAUGAAAAGGGAAAUCAGUGGUGAGCUGCCAUGAGGGAGGGAGGGCAGAACAAUUAGGAGGGUUCAGAGGGCCCCUGCAAACCAGGAACUCCCACAAGCCAGCUCAGCUCUCCUGCCUUCUUGCUUCUCUUUCCUUUCAGUCCCAGAGUGGUGGUUCUCCUGCAGAAGCUCAGCUGAGGACAGUGAAUUAGUACGGGGGGAGGAGUGGGGAGGUAUGUGACUCUCUGUGCCCUAAAGUGACUCUUUUUUCUGUGCAGCUUGGAUGGGAAGUUUGGUGACACAUCAAGGAAAUUUCCAGAGAGAUGCAGAGCACCAGUGUGGGCAGGAGCCUCAGGCAUCUUGAGACAGGUUUCCACUUCUGACUCUCCUCAAUGAAGAUCCAUGGAGUGAAAGACCACGGAGUGAAGACCUUAGUGGCUAAGCAUGGGCCAUGAAUCUGUGAGGAUGUAAAAUAAAGAGACCUGUGCCCUGAGUGUCACCAGCUUGAAAGUGCUUCUUCUGCCCCCUGCCAGCCUGCCUCCUUCUGCAAGGUGGUGUCUGGGAUUGGUGCCUCCACCCAUGGAUGCUUUGGAUAUUUUGGCCAGUCCCGCUAAGAAGGUUUGAAAAGAA